rnacentral:rRNA from 1 species
UGCCAGCAGCCGCGGUAAUACGAAGGGGGCAAGCGUUAUUCGGAAUCACUGGGCGUAAAGCGUACGUAGGCGGCUUUGUAAGUUAGGCGUGAAAGCCCUGGGCUCAACCCAGGAACGGCGCUUAAAACUACAUCGCUAGAAUCCGGGAGAGGCUAGUAGAAUUCCAAGUGUAGAGGUGAAAUUCGUAGAUAUUUGGAGGAAUACCAGUGGCGAAGGCGGCUAACUGGACCGGUAUUGACGCUGAGGUACGAAAGCGUGGGGAGCGAACAGGAUUAGAUA